AGUGAACGCUGGCGGUAGGCCUAACACAUGCAAGUCGAACGGCAGCACAGUAAGAGCUUGCUCUUACGGGUGGCGAGUGGCGGACGGGUGAGGAAUACAUCGGAAUCUACUUUUUCGUGGGGGAUAACGUAGGGAAACUUACGCUAAUACCGCAUACGACCUACGGGUGAAAGCAGGGGAUCUUCGGACCUUGCGCGAUUGAAUGAGCCGAUGUCGGAUUAGCUAGUUGGCGGGGUAAAGGCCCACCAAGGCGACGAUCCGUAGCUGGUCUGAGAGGAUGAUCAGCCACACUGGAACUGAGACACGGUCCAGACUCCUACGGGAGGCAGCAGUGGGGAAUAUUGGACAAUGGGCGCAAGCCUGAUCCAGCCAUACCGCGUGGGUGAAGAAGGCCUUCGGGUUGUAAAGCCCUCUUGUUGGGAAAGAAAAGCAGCAGGUUAAUACCCCGCUGUUCUGACGGUACCCAAAGAACAAGCACCGGCUAACUUCGUG
rnacentral:rRNA from 1 species